rnacentral:rRNA from 1 species
GACGAACGCUGGCGGCGUGCCUAAUACAUGCAAGUUGAGCGCUGAAGGUUGGUACUUGUACCAACUGGAUGAGCAGCGAACGGGUGAGUAACGCGUGGGGAAUCUGCCUUUGAGCGGGGGACAACAUUUGGAAACGAAUGCUAAUACCGCAUAAAAACUUUAAACACAAGUUUUAAGUUUGAAAGAUGCAAUUGCAUCACUCAAAGAUGAUCCCGCGUUGUAUUAGCUAGUUGGUGAGGUAAAGGCUCACCAAGGCGAUGUUACAUAGCCGACCUGAGAGGGUGAUCGGCCACAUUGGGACUGAGACACGGCCCAAACUCCUACGGGAGGCAGCAGUAGUGAAUCGUCGGCCAUGGACGAAAGUCUUACCGAGCAACGCCGCGUGAGUGAAGAAGGUUGUCGGGUCGUAAAACUCUGUUGGUAGAGAAGAACGUUGGUGAGAGUGGAAAGCUCAUCAAGUGACGGUAACUACCCAGAAAGGGACGGCUAACUACGUG